AUUUAGCAUGACUGUUAGUCACUUUGGAUAAAAGCGUCUGCUAAAUGUCAUAUA
rfam:Salmo salar isolate Sally breed double haploid chromosome ssa05, whole genome shotgun sequence.